UACGAAGGGGGCUAGCGUUGCUCGGAAUCACUGGGCGUAAAGGGUGCGUAGGCGGGUUCUUAAGUCAGAGGUGAAAUCCUGGAGCUCAACUCCAGAACUGCCUUUGAUACUGAGAGUCUUGAGUUCGGGAGAGGUGAGUGGAACUGCGAGUGUAGAGGUGAAAUUCGUAGAUAUUCGCAAGAACACCAGUGGCGAAGGCGGCAUCCUGGACCAACACUGACACUGAGGAGCGAAAGCCAGGGGAGCAAACGGG
rnacentral:rRNA from 1 species